AAUGAACGUUGGCGGCGUGGAUUAGGCAUGCAAGUCGCGCGUGUACCCGCAAGGGGAAAGCGGCGUAAGGGACAGUAAUGUGUAGGUAUCUACCCUGGGGUCGGGAAUAGCCACGGGAAACUGUGGGUAAUGCCCGAUAACAUCUCCGGAUCAAAGGUGUGAUUCCGCCCUGGGAUGAGCCUGCAUCCUAUUAGCUAGUUGGUGAGGUAACGGCUCACCAAGGCGACGAUCGGAGGUGGUCUGAGAGGACGAUCACCCAGACUGGGACUGAGACACGGCCCAGACUCCUACGGGAGGCAGCAGUCGGGAAUUUUGCUCAAUGGGCGCAAGCCUGAAGCAGCAACGCCGCGUGGAGGAUGAAGUCUUCGGAUUGUAAACUCCUGUUGACCGGGACGAAUGGCUCCCAGUGGAAUAUGCUGGGGAAUGACGGUACCGGUUGAGGAAGCCACGGCUAACUCUGUGCCAGCCGCCGCUGUAAC
rnacentral:rRNA from 1 species